ensembl:lncRNA MIR497HG mir-497-195 cluster host gene
AGCCUUAGCGAGGCCAUGGGGGAAAAAGUCUAACUGGCGGAACUCCUGGGAACUGGGGCGAUGGGCUCUUAGUAUCGGAGGAUUGGAGCCAUCUGAUUUUUACCUGAAAUUCCUUAGUCUCUCCUGUGUUGGGGAAAUGGUCACCUUGCCUUCAGGGACCUGGGCUUUCAGCUGUCCAUACCUGGCCCUGGUUGAUGGCGGCAUGCUGGGCAGUGCACGUGAAGACGCACAUGAGACAGCAUCUCGUAUGUUGCCCAGGCUGGCCUUGAAAGCCUGGCCUCAAGCCAUCUUCCUGCCUCAGCCUCCCAAGUAGCUGGGAUCACAGGGUUGUGGCAUCACAGCUGGCUAUAUUCUUAACAUUAUUUUGUAACCAUUCCAACCCCCAGAAAUUUCUCUCUGGCUGACUUGAUCCACAGCGCCUCCAUCGCCAUCCCUGAGUGCCUUGUUGUGGAAAAUCUUACUUUAUCUUGGUUCUGUUUGGUAUAAUCGGGGAAAGUCUGUAUUCUUUCAUUAUGUAAAACAACUUAUCUCUCAUUGUUUCAUCUCCUUUCUGAGCUCUGCUCUGCCAGCUCUCUUUCCAAAACCAAAAUGGCUCUUCAAGUUAUUUUGUAAAUAAUAAUGGGCCAUCUACUUCUUAACAUAAAUGAAUGAUUUUCCAAGGUCAA